rnacentral:rRNA from 1 species
UACGUAGGGGGCAAGCGUUGUCCGGAUUUAUUGGGCGUAAAGAGCGUGUAGGCGGCUUGGUAGGUCUUGCGUCAAAAACCUGAGGCUCAACCUCAGUUCGCGUGGGAAACCAUCUAGCUAGAGUCCGGAAGAGGAGAACGGAAUUCCCAGUGUAGCGGUGAAAUGCGCAGAUAUUGGGAAGAACACCAGUGGCGAAGGCGGUUCUCUGGGACGGUACUGACGCUGAGACGCGAAAGCGUGGGGAGCGAACGAG